AACCAGUGGAGCAUGUGGUUUAAUUCGAGACGAACCGAAGAACCUUACCUGGACUUGACAUACUAGCUGCCACUCCGCCAGAAAUGGAGGAUUUCGUUUCGAAGGUGCUAGUACAGGUGCUGCAUGGCUAUCGUCAGCUCGUGCCGUGGGGUGUUCCCUUCAGUGGGGUAACGAGCGCAACCCUCGCCGUAUGUUAAAUUGUUCAUACGGGACUGCUCGAGUCAUUCUCGGAGAAGGCGGGGACGACGUUAAGUCAGCAUGGCCCUUAUGUCCAGGGCUACACACAUGCUACAAUGAAGCCGACAAUGGGUUGCCAAGUGGUAACACGGAGCUAAUCCCAUCAAACGGCUUCUCAGUAGGGAUUGAGGGCUGCAAUUCGCCCUCAUGAACGCGGAAUUGGUAGUAAUCGCGAAUCAGCAAAGUCGCGGUGAAUACGUUCUCGGGUCUU
rnacentral:rRNA from 1 species